GAUGAACGCUGGCGGCGUGCCUAAUACAUGCAAGUCGAGCGAACAGACGAGGAGCUUGCUCCUCUGACGUUAGCGGCGGACGGGUGAGUAACACGUGGAUAACCUACCUAUAAGACUGGGAUAACUUCGGGAAACCGGAGCUAAUACCGGAUAAUAUAUUGAACCGCAUGGUUCAAUAGUGAAAGACGGUUUUGCUGUCACUUAUAGAUGGAUCCGGCCGCCAUUGGCUGGUGGUAAGGUAACGGCUUACCAAGGCAACGAUGCGUAGCCGACCUGAGAGGGUGAUCGGCCACACUGGAACUGAGACACGGUCCAGACUCCUACGGGAGGCAGCAGUAGGGAAUCUUCCGCAAUGGGCGAAAGCCUGACGGAGCAACGCCGCGUGAGUGAUGAAGGUCUUCGGAUCGUAAAACUCUGUUAUUAGGGAAGAACAAAUGUGUAAGUAACUAUGCACGUCUUGACGGUACCUAAUCAGAAAGCCACGGCUAACUACGUG
rnacentral:rRNA from 1 species